rnacentral:rRNA from 1 species
GACGAACGCUGGCGGCGUGCUUAACACAUGCAAGUCGAACGGUGAAGCGCCUUCCUUUUUGGUGGGUGUGGAUGAGUGGCGAACGGGUGAGUAACACGUGAGUAACCUGCCCCCUUCUUCUGGAUAACCGCAUGAAAGUGUGGCUAAUACGGGAUAUUCUGGGUCUGUCGCAUGAUGGGUCUGGGAAAGAUAUUGUUUCGGUGGGGGAUGGGCUCGCGGCCUAUCAGCUGGUUGGUGGGGUGAUGGCCUACCAAGGCGGUGACGGGUAGCCGGCCUGAGAGGGUGGCCGGUCACACUGGGACUGAGACACGGCCCAGACUCCUACGGGAGGCAGCAGUGGGGAAUAUUGCACACUGGGCGCAAGCCUGAUGCAGCGACGCCGCGUGAGGGAUGGAGGCCUUCGGGUUGUGAACCUCUUUCGCCAGUGAAGCAGGCCUGCCUCGUUUGUGGGUGGGUUGACGGUAGCUGGAUAAGAAGCGCCGGCUAACUACGUG